CGCAGUGAAUAGGCCCAAGCGACUGUUUAGCAAAAACACAGCUCUCUGCGAAGCCGUAAGGCGAAGUAUAGGGGGUGACACCUGCCCGGUGCUGGAAGGUUAAGGAGAGGGGUUAGCGUAAGCGAAGCUCUGAACUGAAGCCCCAGUAAACGGCGGCCGUAACUAUAACGGUCCUAAGGUAGCGAAAUUCCUUGUCGGGUAAGUUCCGACCCGCACGAAAGGUGUAACGAUUUGGGCACUGUCUCAACCAGAGACUCGGUGAAAUUAUAGUACCUGUGAAGAUGCAGGUUACCCGCGACAGGACGGAAAGACCCCGUGGAGCUUUACUGUAGCCUGAUAUUGAAUUUUGGUACAGUUUGUACAGGAUAGGCGGGAGCCUUUGAAACCGGAGCGCUAGCUUCGGUGGAGGCGCUGGUGGGAUACCGCCCUGACUGUAUUGAAAUUCUAACCUACGGGUCUUAUCGACCCGGGAGACAGUGUCAGGUGGGCAGUUUGACUGGGGCGGUCGCCUCCUAAAGUGUAACGGAGGCGCCCAAAGGUUCCCUCAGAAUGGUUGGAAAUCAUUCGUAGAGUGCAAAGGCAUAAGGGAGCUUGACUGCGAGACCUACAAGUCGAGCAGGGACGAAAGUCGGGCUUAGUGAUCCGGUGGUUCCGCAUGGAAGGGCCAUCGCUCAACGGAUAAAAGCUACCCCGGGGAUAACAGGCUUAUCUCCCCCAAGAGUCCACAUCGACGGGGAGGUUUGGCACCUCGAUGUCGGCUCAUCGCAUCCUGGGGCUGUAGUCGGUCCCAAGGGUUGGGCUGUUCGCCCAUUAAAGCGGUACGCGAGCUGGGUUCAGAACGUCGUGAGACAGUUCGGUCCCUAUCCGUCGUGGGCGUAGGAAAUUUGAGAGGAGCUGUCCUUAGUACGAGAGGACCGGGAUGGACGCACCGCUGGUGUACCAGUUGUUCUGCCAAGGGCAUAGCUGGGUAGCUAUGUGCGGAAGGGAUAAGUGCUGAAAGCAUCUAAGCAUGAAGCCCCCCUCAAGAUGAGAUUUCCCAUAGCGUAAGCUAGUAAGAUCCCUGAAAGAUGAUCAGGUUGAUAGGUUCGAGGUGGAAGCAUGGUGACAUGUGGAGCUGACGAAUACUAAUAGAUCGAGGACUUAACCAU
rnacentral:rRNA from 1 species